rnacentral:lncRNA from 1 species
UUAAUAAUUUGGACACAAAAGGCCUUAGCAGCCGGUGAAAAUUAUCCGGUGAUCUAAACAAUGGCGACUCCUGCAUGGAGUCAUGCCAGGGGUCAAUGGGUAAUAGCCAUGUUGGCGUUACUCGUUGGCUCGGCAAUAGCUACCGAACCUUACUAUUAUAGCUCUCCUCCACCACCGUAUGAGUAUAAAUCUCCACCGCCUCCGGUUAAGUCUCCUCCACCUCCUUAUGAAUACAAAUCUCCUCCCCCUCCGGUUAAGUCUCCCCCACCACCUUAUUACUAUCAUUCACCGCCGCCGCCGGUGAAAUCCCCUCCCCCUCCUUAUGUAUACCAGUCUCCUCCUCCUCCGGUGAAGUCUCCACCACCACCUUAUUACUACCACUCUCCGCCACCACCUGUGAAGUCUCCUCCCCCUCCUUAUGUAUACAACUCUCCUCCUCCUCCGGUGAAGUCUCCUCCACCACCGUAUUAUUACCACUCUCCUCCACCACCAGUAAAAUCUCCUCCUCCUCCUUACUAUUAUCAUUCUCCACCACCUCCGGUGAAAUCUCCGCCACCACCAUAUUACUAUCACUCACCACCUCCUCCAGUGAAGUCUCCCCCACCACCAUAUUACUACCAUUCUCCACCACCACCGGUUAAAUCUCCACCACCACCUUACUACUAUCAUUCUCCACCUCCUCCAUUGAAGUCUCCUCCACCACCAUACUACUAUCACUCUCCUCCUCCUCCAUCCAAGUCUCCACCACCACCAUACUACUACUACUACUCUCCUCCUCCUCCAGUCAAGUCUCCUCCACCACCGUACUACUACCACUCUCCUCCUCCUCCGGUCAAGUCUCCUCCACCACCGUACUACUACCACUCUCCUCCUCCUCCGGUAAAGUCUCCACCACCACCGUACUACUACCACUCUCCUCCUCCUCCGGUUAAAUCUCCACCACCACCUUACUACUACCACUCUCCUCCUCCUCCGGUUAAAUCACCACCACCGCCAUACUAUUAUCACUCUCCACCUCCUCCAGUGAAAUCACCACCCCCACCUUAUUAUUACUCAUCCCCACCACCACCAAAGUCUUAUCCUCCACCAUACUACUACUCAUCUCCACCGCCACCACCAAAGUCGUACUCGCCACCGUACUACUACUCAUCGCCACCACCUCCGAUGUCAUACCCUCAACCUCACCCACAGCCACAUCCACUUGUCUUCAAAGUUGUUGGUAAAGUGUAUUGUUACAGAUGUUAUGACUGGACUUAUCCUAAAAAGUCCCACGAUAAGAAGCAUCUCAAAGGUAACUAUGUCUUCCACGUGUUCAAUAAUUAAUGUUUUAAUCUUAGCUAACUUAAUUACAGAAAAUAUGAUCCUGAUGAUUAUAGAAUGAUUAAAGGCUUAUAGGAUUUAAAUAAACUAGCAUAUGUGUAUUGUGAAGUGGUAGUUGCAAGUCUGGAUUAUUUAUUUAGUGGAGAAAAGAAAACGAUCAAGUCAAGAAAAAAACAAAAAUCUGUUAUUGACUAAAACAAUCGAGAGAGAUAGAACAAGCAAAAUCGAUUUAAAUGACAUAAAAUGAUACUUUAAAUUUAAAUAAUUUGUUGUCAUAUAGGUGCUGUGGUGGAAGUGACGUGCAAGGCCGGUGACAAGACAGUGAAGGCAUACGGGAAGACCAAAAUCAACGGUAAAUACGCAAUAACCGUUAAGGGAUACAACUACCGUAAAUACGGUGGCGAAGUUUGCACAGCCAAACUCCACUCGCCACCUAAGGGAUCGCCGUGUAACAUUCCUACAAGUUACCAUUUGGGUAACAAAGGUGCUAAACUCCAUGUGAAAUCAAAGACAAAGUACGAGGUUGUGCUUUAUGCUAAGUCCUUUGCUUAUGCACCUAAGAAACCUUACGGAGAAUGCCACAAGCCGGCUCCUUACCAUCCUCCUUACUACUACAAGUCUCCACCACCACCUUCUCCGGUUUACUACUACAAGUCUCCACCACCACCAACUCCAACUUAUGUCUAUAAAUCACCGCCUCCACCAACCCCAGCGUAUGUCUACAAAUCGCCUCCUCCUCCUACCCCAACAUACGUCUAUAAAUCUCCUCCACCACCAACUCCGACUUACGUCUACAAAUCACCACCACCGCCUACUCCAACGUAUGUGUAUAAGUCUCCGCCUCCACCAACCCCUACGUAUGUCUACAAGUCGCCCCCACCACCAACUCCAACCUAUGUUUACAAAUCACCGCCUCCUCCUACUCCGACCUACGUCUACAAGUCGCCGCCUCCUCCUACCCCAACUUAUGUUUACAAGUCGCCACCACCUCCAACACACACUCCUACACCAUACUACUACCAUUCUCCACCACCACCAGUUAAAUCUCCUCCACCUCCAUAUUAUUACCAUUCGCCACCACCACCCGUAAAAUCUCCACCACCGCCAUAUUAUUAUCAUUCACCACCCCCUCCGGUGAAAUCUCCUCCUCCUCCUUACUACUACCACUCUCCACCCCCUCCGGUGAAGUCUCCUCCUCCACCUUACUACUACCAGUCACCACCCCCUCCCGUAAAGUCACCACCACCACCAUAUUAUUACCAUUCACCACCUCCUCCGGUCAAAUCUCCUCCUCCACCCUACUAUUACCAUUCACCUCCUCCACCGAUGAAAUCUCCACCACCACCAUACUACUACCACUCACCACCUCCUCCAGUCAAAUCUCCUCCUCCACCGUACUAUUACCAUUCACCUCCUCUACCGGUGAAAUCUCCACCACCACCAUACUACUACCAUUCACCACCUCCUCCUGUCAAAUUUCCUCCUC